GCCCCGCGACGCAGGGAGGCGGGAGCGGGCGGUGUCGGCGCUGUCCCGGGGCAUGUGCGUUGCACGGGUGCGGUUAGCAGUGUAAGCUAAGGUGUUACCGCAAGGGCGGGGUGGGGGAGAAAUGGCGGCCGGCAGCGAAAGGGCCGGUGCUGUGGCAGCUGCCGCCGCCGCGGCAGGGGGAGCAGUGCUGGUGUGCUCUGGGAGGGGAGCGCACGUCAGGUCAGUCUGUGGGGAGCGAGCAACCCCUCUCCAGCCCCAGGCUGGCAAGGGAGCCAAGAGCAGCUCGUGGAGGAAGCCAGGAGAAGCCCUAGCUGCAGGUAGCUGGCGGAACUGCGUUAUGCCGGGUGCAUCGUCUUAUGGAGGGGCUUUGAAUCUUAAAGAAAAGUUAUGCUGAAACAAUUUGUUUUUCAUACUUCUUCAGGCACAGGAGAGAGUAACAAUCCGAUUGCAUAUGAUUCGAAGAGACAACAAUAUAUCUGCAGGUGCCUUUUGUGGACACAUCAAGAGAAUUGGUGGCAGGCUGCAAUUCCAAAGAUUUUCAUAUUAGAACUGAAAACCGAGACUUCUGUUUGUUCAAGUUUUGAGUCUGGACCAUCCCACACUUUGCAGAACUUUGCCCAGCCGUUUUCAUGGAUACAGAGCAUUUUCAUGAGCCCUGACAUAAAAACUUCUGAGACACAGUAUUUCUGUACUUGAAGGUCUUUCUUCUGCCACUUUUAACAGAAUAUUAAAGUACACACUUCUUGAAAACAUUG